rnacentral:rRNA from 1 species
ACGGGAGGCAGCAGUGGGGGAUAUUGCACAAUGGGGGAAACCCUGAUGCAGCGACGCCGCGUGAGUGAUGAAGUAUUUCGGUAUGUAAAGCUCUAUCAGCAGGGAAGAUAAUGACGGUACCUGACUAAGAAGCACCGGCUAAAUACGAGCCAGCAGCCGCGGUAAUACGUAUGGUGCAAGCGUUAUCCGGAUUUACUGGGUGUAAAGGGAGCGUAGACGGCAAGGCAAGCCAGAUGUGAAAGGCUGGGGCUCAACCCCGGGACUGCAUUUGGAACUGUCUAGCUAGAGUAUCGGAGAGGUAAGUGGAAUUCCUAGUGUAGCGGUGAAAUGCGUAGAUAUUAGGAGGAACACCAGUGGCGAAGGCGGCUUACUGGACGAUAACUGACGUUGAGGCUCGAAAGCGUGGGGAGUAAACAGGAUUAGAUACCCUGGUA